rnacentral:rRNA from 1 species
GUUAGGAAUAUUUGGACAAUGGGCGCAAGCCUGAUCCAGCCAUGCCGCGUGAGUGAUGAAGGCCUUCGGGUUGUAAAGCUCUUUAGUCCACGAAUAUAAUGACUGUAGUGGAAGAAUAAGCCCCGGCUAACUUCGUGCCAGCAGCCGCGGUAAUACGAAGGGGGCGAGCGUUAUUCGGAAUCACUGGGCGUAAAGCGUGCGUAGGCUGUUUUGUAAGUCAGAAGUGAAAGCCCAGGGCUUAACCCUGGAAUUGCUUUUGAAACUACAAGACUCGAAUUCGGGAGAGGAUAGCGGAAUUGUCAGUGUAGCAGUGAAAUGCGUAGAUAUUGACAGGAACACCAGUGGCGCAAGCGGCUAUCUGGACCGAUAUUGACGCUGAGGCACGAAAGCGUGGGGAGCAAACAGGAUUAGAAACCCUGGUAGUCC